UUUCCGUAGGUGAACCUGCGGAAGGAUCAUUAAAAAAUGUGGUACCAAUUAUUGGUACUAAUUAGUCAUCCUACCCUUUGUGAAUUUGUUUGUAACGAAUUUUUUUUAAAUGGGUCUUUCCCUAAGUUGGAUUGUAGUAAAAUACAAAAAGACUUAGGGGAAUGACUUUUUAAAAGACUUUUUUUUUAAAUUAAAACUUUUUGUAUUCAUUUGUCUAAAAUUUAUUUUUAUAACAUAAAAACAACUUUUGACAAUGGAUCUCUUGGUUCUCGCAACGAUGAAGAACGCAGCAAAAUGCGAUAAGUAGUGUGAUUGCAGAAUGCGUGAAUCAUCGAAUCUUCGAACGCAUAUUGCACUUUUUUAGUUUACUAAAAAAGUAUGUCUGUUUGAGUAUCAGUAAAAUAUUCUCGCAAAACAAUUUGUUUUUGUGGUAUGAGUGUUUUACAACGAUAAACAAGUUGUUUCACUUUAAAUUCUUUUUGUAAUUUUUACUACCAAUUACAAAUUAAAAUUGGAUAAAAUUUUCCUUUAACGAGGAAUAGCCUAAACAAUUUUAAAUUUUUGGUUUAUAAAUCAUAAAGGAAUCUAUACAUAAAUAACUUGAUCUCAAAUCAGAUAAGAGUACCCGCUGAACUUAAGCAUAUCAAUAAGCGGAGGAAAAGAAACUAACAAGGAUUCCCUUAGUAACGGCGAGUGAAGCGGGAAGAGCUCAAAUUUGAAAUCUUCAAGGUUUGACCUUGACGAAUUGUAGUUUAUAGAAGUGUUUUCUGUUGGAGUUUUGGUAAAAGUUCUUUGGAAUAGGACAUCAUAGAGGGUGAGAAUCCCGUAUUUGACCAUGACUUUCCAGCUGUGUGAUACACUUUCAAAGAGUCGGAUUGUUUGGGAAUGCAGUCCAAAAUGGGUGGUAAAUUUCAUCUAGAGCUAAAUAGUGGCGAGAGACCGAUAGCGAACAAGUACCGUGAGGGAAAGAUGAAAAGAACUUUGAAAAGAGAGUUAAACAGUACGUGAAAUUGUCAAAAGGGAAGCGUUUGACACCAGUGUUGUUUUCUCGAAAAUCAAUUUAAUGAGUUCUUGUCUUUAAGUUAUUGUGACUUUAUCAGCGCAUUUCUUAUUUUACUUGACUCAUUGAAUGCACUUCUCGUUUAACAAGUCAACAUCAAUUUCUUUGGUGGUAAAAAGUUUAAAGGAAGGUGGCUUGGACUUCGGUUCAAGUGUUUAUAGCCUUUUUUCUAUGCCAUCGGAGAGAUUGAGGUCUGCAGCGUAGAUCCUUCGGGGUUAGAUACUUUGUGCUAAGUUAUUGUUUUUUAUAGACAACUUGUUGACUAUAAUUAACCCUGUAAUUUACUCGCUUAGGCUAUUUUACCUACGCUUAGGAUGUUGAG
rnacentral:misc_RNA from 1 species